rnacentral:rRNA from 1 species
AUGCGGAGGGUCCGAGCGUUAUCCGGAAUCAUUGGGUUUAAAGGGUCCGUAGGCGGGAAUCUAAGUCAGUGGUGAAAUCUUGCAGCUCAACUGUAAAAUUGCCAUUGAUACUGGAUUUCUUGAAUUAGUGUGAAGUGAUUAGAAUGUGUAGUGUAGCGGUGAAAUGCAUAGAUAUUACACAGAAUACCAAUUGCGAAGGCAGAUCACUAACACUAUAUUGACGCUGAGGGACGAAAGCGUGGGGAGCGAACAGGAUUAGAAACCCUAGUAGUCC